GCUCCCAGGGAGCCCCGGCGGACAGACGCGAGAAAACAGAGGGGCCCCGAGCGCCUACGUGGAGCGCGCACACACUGAUGCCACGCUUUCCACGGUGGGAAGGAAAUGAAGCGCGCAGUGGCCAGAGCCCGGCGGAGAGCAACAGACCACUGGAGCAGGCUGCCCAGAUAGGUUGUGGAGUCUCCUACUUGGAGAUAUUCAAGACCCACCUGGACACCUUCCUUUGCAACCUAUGAACUAGUUUUCCACUCGUGAUGCUCAAAGUGGCAAAAAUAUUAUAGAAGAAAACUAUUGGAUUGUCAAGUUGUAUUAUAAAUACAAGACCUGGAUGCAAUGGACUCAUGCAUAAUCUUUCUGUGUAAGACAUUUGCCAUCUGCCUACCACUCCCAUCUUGAGUAGAGAAGGCUGCUGGAAGACACGAUACAGGCCUCAAAUAUGUCAAAGAUUCUUCAUCAAGGAAAGAAAAAAGCGUUUUUCUGCUUGCCAUGUGUAAGAUCAGAAAUGAUGAGCUGUAAUUGUUCAAGAGGCAUUUAAGUGCGAAAUUGGGAAAAAAUGUCUAAUGGUAAAUACUGCAGAAAGACAGAAACAAAUGACUAAGGAAGGUGUGCAGUGUCUGUAAUGAGAAAUUCUUUAGCAACGCUGAGAAACAUCUAUCAUGAAUAGGUUAUAAUCCUAUCCUGCCUUUUUAAGGGGAAAAGGAGAGCAAAUUAAAUGUUGUUCGAAGAUCUUUUUUCCAUUUUCCAUGAUUCUAUGAUUAUUUUUCUUUUAUCUGUGGCUCCUGCAAGACUUUUCCCCUGGUCACCUACCAACUCCCAUGGAGCCAGGCAGCCUGACCAGGACCAUGUUUCAGAUAACUGGAAGAACUCAGUGAUCGCAAACACAGCUGCCUUUUCUCCAGCUCUCCAUGUCCCUCCAGCCGGAAUUGCUCCAGAGGGAGAGGCAAGUUGGGGGCUUGUCAGCACGGGAAGGCUUUGCAAGUUAUCCCUGUGUUGAGGCUCCAGUGUAGCUGUAUCACUAUGGCACCACCUGGGGAUACUCAUUUUCCAUGAUAAGAGAUGGUUUCUUUUGGCUUACUUUAAAUGCAUUUAGUUUCCAAAGUGACAAAGGGCCCCGUGUUGGUCUGAACAUAGCCAGGGUCUGGCUGCUGCCAUGGGAUUUGAAUCCCAUCACAUCUUGUGGCCUUCAGCAUUUUGCAGCUGAUUUGCCUUUUUAUUCUUGGUCAGUGGCAGCUUUCAGCACCGGGCCCUGAACUAAGCCCUCAGCUCAUAAAGCAUAAAAUAACAUGGAUAACAUGGCUAUCUCUGGAAAUAAGAUCCUUACACACACACAAAAAAAAAAAAAAAAGAUAUUAUACAGAAAAUGGUCAUGUCAGAUAACAGUGUUUGAGUUCAUUCCUUAGCUUAAGCCCUACGUGUAGCUCAUCGCUGCCUAACUUCUGCAUGCCCAGACUUUUAGAGGUCCUGUCCUGGGGCUCUGCCCAAAGCUCCUCAGACAGCUUGCCGCUCUCCUCCACAACUCCAGAGCAGCACAAUGAGUGAUCACCAUCCUGUGCUCCUCAGGAAUACUCAGGAUGGUUUCUCUGUCCUGUAUGCUUUCACCUUAUCCUGCUCUUUGCUUCCAUUUGCCUCCAUUCUGAUGGCAUCUCCUCUACAUUCCCCAGCCAGCAGCAUAUUUUGGAGAUUUAACUGGAAGUAACCCAGCACAUUAAACUCAGUAACUCUCUAUGCAGGGACGAAUUUUAUUCAGGUCAGGCAAAGAAUUCAGGUGCAGUUCAUGGGACUUGGAACCAAAUUAUCCUUUAUGAUUGUUCACUAACCUUGUUAGGUCUUGAGAAAAAAUUCCUAGGCUGAAGCGAUCCAUUUCCUAAUCAAAGUUGUGAUCACUUUGUGCCUCAGGAUGAAAAACAGCAAUAAGGUUUACACUGCAGGCUGCAGUCUGUGCUAGGUUGAAAGACUGGAGUCCUCAGCCUAGUAGCACUGCCACUGUCAUAUGUCCUUCAUAUGGAACAAGGCUGUACAAGGGGUAGGGAGUUGACCCAGCCCAAAGGGCUCCUGGUCAGAAUAUUUGUGUGCACACCAGGGGAGAGCAUUUUGUGGACUCUGUGUCAGGAGGUCUGUCCGGAUCAAUAGGUUCUAGGCAAAACCUAAAUAUACAUCACUGCUCACCACUGCUUUCACUCAGUCAAACAAAUAUGUUUAAAGCUCCACUACUAACUCACCUUUAAACUUAUUCAGAGAUCUGAAAAAACCAUACCAACCUGAAACCUGAGGACCACUUCCAAACAAAACAACCUCUACAGCUGUGACUUGGGAAGAGAAUGAAUUCAUUUAAAGAUGAAACCUUUUAUGUAACAGCCAUUUCAAAAUAGAAAUACAAUGUUUUUUUCAUACAUCAAUCCCAAACCAUCAACAUAGUUAAUAAAUGAGGUUUAUAUGUUUGUGAAAGAACAUUUCCUGUUCUAUACAUUAUAAACUUCUCUCCCAGUAGGUGCAGUGCAGCUUGGACAGGUAGCAGCCCACAUUUACUGAGGGACCUCUGUUUUUCCAGAGUCGUAGAGCAAAUCAUCACCAUUAAUCUGAGGUGUGUCCCUCUCACCUUCCCUGAUGGCAAAUCCUACAGGUGGAAGAGAUUAAUAAUAUGCAAAGCAGGAAUGGUCACAGAGUCAGAGUUCAGAAAGGUAAACUUUCCUCCAUCUCCAGCUUGCACACUUGACCACACAGCGCCUGAGCACACAGCUCAGGCCCCCCACCUGGAUUUGUUAUAAUCAUCAAGCAUAUGCAAAGCUCAGAACCAACCUACUCAUUUUCUGCAGCAUCCAGUAUAGGUUAUGUGAAAUAUUAAAAUAUGUAAUUGUAAAUGCAUGCCCUUUAUUGCGUUAUAACUAAGAAACCAGAUCUUUUCCCACUGACUUUCCAUGCAACUUUUCCCUGUUCUCAUAUCCCAUGUGGCUCUUAAGUGUGCAAAGGCACCAGUAUUAAAAUUUAUAAGAUAUUUAUAUAAAUCAGAUGGUUGGUAAGUAUUAAAUCUGAUUUUUCUCAAUAACCCGAGGGGGAAUAUUAAAAUAUUAAAAUUGUUUGAAUUUUUAAAACACAAAUGGGCUUUUGAAUAGUUUAGGCCCAAGCUUCAACUCUUGUACUCAAAUACAUUCUGGCUGAGUACAGAGUUCUUGAAGUUUUUGUCUUGUUACUCACAUCUAGUGAGACAAAUGGCAGACUUAGUAGAAAGUCUGUUCUGAAAAAUCAUAAACAGAUCCAUGUGGAAGAAUGAAUAUUAUCUUCUGUUUUCAUCCUGCGAUUUACAUGUUUGGAAGUAUAUAUCUCUUGUCUUAAAUAACUGAGGUCACAUUGUAAAACUUGCUGCCAGUGUUGCCUCAUGGCAUUACCAGUUUACGUACUAUCUUUGCUUCCACAUUUAAACAUCUUUGAUGUAAUUGUGAACAUGAAACCUUACAACAAUUUUCUGUUCAAGAAAUUUUAUUCUCAGUCUCUUAACACACUUUCUGGGAACUAAUUCUGGUUCCAUAUUGUGGACUCAAGAGUUAACAGCUGUGGGUAAGCAUAGCCAUGGCUCCCCAUUUUCUUUUUUAGUAGAUAAAUAACAUUUGCCUCGAGGAGGAUGUGUUAUUGUUCUGAGAUGUGCAAGAGUAUGUCUAGAAUAGCUGCAGAAGAGGGAGUUGUGUAUGCAGAAAGAAUGUUUGCUCUUUCCUUUAGGCUCUGAUUAGGUCAAUUCUUGGGACAUGUUUGGCUUGCAAACCCACAAUUACUGUUACACAGUUUUUCUGGAGAAGGGGAUUUCUUUGCAUGCUGUUUUGGUCAUCUUGUUGCCAAACCAGUGUGUAUAUGUGUGUACUGGAAAAAGCAAAUUGUAAAAGGAAUGUACUUAAACUCUAUAUCACUGUUUUUUCCAUAGCUGAAAGAAUCAAUCUACUGGUAUAGGUGUGUGUGCACAGAAAUGAAGAUAUUGACAUGAGAAAAUAACAGUGGAAUCAGAAGAAACAAGAAAUGGUUCCUAGAUCUGGGCAGUCAUAGGCAUCAUCAUUAUUGCAGUACGGGAAAAAAAAUAAUGGAGCAAGUUACAGAACGUGUCAACUUCUGACCUGUGAAAUAAAUGAUGCAAUAAAAAGCUAUCAGCUGGAUGCCAGUCUUCACCAUAUUUUAUCAACCACCAAAACAGAUUAACAUAGUUAAUAAGUUAGGAAAUACUGUCACUGGAUAUGUAUUUUACAAUAUGGUUAUUUCUGUAAUAUAUAUAGGAAAGGCUUCUGCCCAGCAUCUCAAGUGACAACAGUUACACUAUGUAGUGGACUUGUAAUAUUUGUCAUCUGCCUGAGUCAAGUAGCUUAGUUUUGAAUGCAUAAUCAAUAUGACAUUUUGGAAGGCUGCUUUUAUUUGCAGCAUGUAUUCCUAUGCUUGCCAGCUCUGAAAGUAAAAGGCAACCUGACAGUACUUUAACUAAUGAGAUCUUUGAUCUGAAAAUAUAUAAAACAACCUUCUUCCCCAAUUUUUGGUAAAUUUGUCUGAAUACCAUGAAUUGUGCAUCUAAGAAACAGGCUUCAAGCAAUUCCUUUGAGUUGACAACAACCUAUUUCUACUAACAGGGUGCAAGCAAGUUAGACAAAUGCUGGAAAACUGAGUUGACAGCUGAUGUUCCCCUUUCCACUGGCCCAUGAUUUCAAGCCAUUUUACAUCGGGGCAGUAAAAUAAUCUAGAACCUGACACUGUCAGUGGGUGAAUUAAACCUACAAAUACUGGGCUAGAGACUUCGUGUUGAGUUCUCAUUACAACUCUGAAAUCAUUUUUUCAGAGUUUUUUCAUGUCAAAGGAAUAGCACCAGAGGAAAGAAUUGGCAUAAACAAGCCCUGUUGCACGUUAUUGAAUAGGCUGUGUACACGUUUGGUUAAAAGUUAACAUUGCUCUUUUUCUUUCCUCUGGAAGACCUUGAAUAACCACAGCUUUUAGCAAAGCUUGGCAUUGUCUUAGGUAACAGAGCUGAGGUUUAAAAUUCUUGCUAUACUGCUGCCAAAAAACAAAAACAAAAGACAACAACAACAACAACAAAAACUUGCUUUUGAGAGAGAAACUUUUAAAGUAAUUUUUUUGAUGAGACGUAAUAAUGGUAUAAUGGAAUACAUGUAACUGGGUUUGUACAUCAUAGCCUUUUAAAAACAUACUAAUUAAACUCCAUGUGAAAACAACAACAGCAGAAAUAUUUGGUUUAAUCUGUGUUCUCAUACCUUUCAUUUCUUUGUGUCAGCUAGUACUGUCUUCAUAGAGCCACGGGAAAAGUACCUCGUGCAUUUCAAGAAUUCCAGUUGACCCAGUGUCACAUCAAAGGCAGAUAUUCACCACCUUCCCAAAGGUGGCAGUGGGGUCUUGUAAGAACACUGAUAGCAGAGAUCUCUUUCAGAAGGUGUGAAUUUUUGGAAAGUUGUGAGGAAGAGGAUGCAAGGAACAGUUUAUUUCUGGGAAAUGUUCUGCAUAAUGCCAAUGAGUGAGAAAGAAGAAAUAAAUGGAAACUGAGAUAGAAUCCAGCUCCAGGGUUUCUUCUCUUAUUGAUCUCAGCAGCACAGCUUAAUAUCCCUCCAAUUCUAUUACCAUCCUAAUCUGUCUUGCUCUUUAGAUCUUUCUUUGUGCUUUCUGACUUUAGCUUCUGAUCU